ensembl:lncRNA LINC00616 long intergenic non-protein coding RNA 616
AAUCAGGGUGUGUUUUCCUUUGUGACAUCAUUAGCUUUUCUUGGGAUCUCAAAGGACCCUGUGCAGCAGGCCACUAUUUGAAUGUGUGUUGCUCCUUGUGGCAGGUAUACUGUUCCAAUGCCCUGGGAUCUCUGUAGUGGUCGGUACUGUAUUGAUUAUAAAUGGUGAAGUCCUAGUAUCUUGCUAGAGUGAGCUGGCCAGGAUGGUGGAGCUCUACCACCAUUUCACAGGUUAUAGACAGGGGCCACCAGGUUUCAGGAAAGCAGCAAUGACCCCUCAGUAAUAGUUGGAAAGUGUGAUAUGACACUGAGCUUCACUGUGUUGGUGAAGAAGAGGUGAGGAAAAUAAAAGCUGCAGUUUGCCUCCACCUCUGAAGAAGCACAAUACACCUUUCUGGGUUACCAAUGGGAUACUUCCCAACAGCUUUGUCAUCACAUACAAUAUUCUCAAACAAGAUCUUAAUGGCAUCUACUUUCUCCAGGAACACAGCCCCUGACCUGUGUGUGUUUGCGUAGAGAAGGCAUGCUAUGUACCCCCUAGGAUAUCAAGAUUCCUGUAGCAGAUUGAGCUCUGGCAGUUGAUCUCAGUGGCUUGAUAGAGUGUCAUUAUAAAAACGCACCUGGAAGAUUCUGUGGAAAAGACAACCUCAGAAGACCAAGAGGCUGACUUUGCAAGAGAGAGUCCGUUUACCACUUAGAACCGUGAACACCACCCCCGCCCUCAUUUAUCUCCAGACUUGAACUAGUGGUUAAAUCCCAACAUGUCCCAGAGAAGUCAAAAGCAUUGUAAAAUCUGGGAAUCUGCCCACCACUCAAGCCUGGGAAAGCUGGCAGAGGAUGCACGUGUUUUACUCACCUGAGUGUUUACAAUGCUCGUGAGGUGCCUCCCUGAUAUUUUUAUAGCAGAAUGGAGAAACACAACCAAGGAGAUACACCUAAGUAACAACAGCAAUGAUGUCAAAAAGAGUGCCUGAAUACUUAGGGUGGAGGUCCUGGACAUGCAAACCCAAGCUUCCUCUUUGCUGUGGCCAGGAAUCUGCAGUGAUUGAGAGCACAGACUGUAUCUAAAAUUCCACCUUUCAAAGUUCAGCAUAUUACUUUUUUUUUUCUUACACCUAUAAGUACAGAGGAAUGAAGAAGGAAUAAACAGACCUUCUGGAUAAUUGCAUCAGCCUUCCCCACUAUUCCAAUGCCAUGCUAACAUUUCAAGUAAUGUCCCUUUUGUCUUGCUGAGAAAAAAUCAUUUCAUGAUUUAUUACACUGGAUUAAAGGCUAUGCACACUCUGGAGUUGGAACAUGACUGAAGGGCAAGCAAGCAUAAAGGAUAUCAGAAACAGUUGAUGUGUUUAAAUUUUUCUGAAUUUCUCAAGUAAACUUUUUAGAAAGUAGUCUGAAGAUAAAAUGGUUAUAUAAGUUACUUAAACUGUAGAUGAUGGCACCUUUAUCCCUAUAUAAUAAAAUUAAGAUUUGUAGGUUAAACCUUGGAUAUUCCCAUCUGAGCAUCUGUACCAAACAGAAAAGACCUGUGUGAGUUCCUGAGAACCAGUGCUCAUUCCAGAAGAGACAGGUUUCUCUCCAGGAAGAAAUGUCUGAAAUUCAGUGAAUUAAAAUCCUCAUUGAGUCUUCCUA